GCGACUCGCUCUUCCAGCCCUCGCCGCCGCGGGCCGUCACAGCCGGCGGAAGGGGCGGGGCCAGCGCGGGGACGAGGCAGCAGCGGCCCCGCCCCAGGGGCGCCGCCCACGUGACCGCUCCGUGAACGCGGUUGCACAGAGAAUGUGGACCAGAGCAUUUGGCUGUUCUUAAACUUGUAACAGCACCUUCCUCCAGGCAAAUAUUAAAUAUCUUCACCUACUGUGUUAGAGAUCUCUUCACAUUUUUUAUCUAUCAUAAAAAAUGAAUAAAGAGACAGCUAAGGCUGGUGAGAAGAGAACUGCAGUAGUAGACAAAGAUCCAUCCACAUUGAAACAAAAACAACAGGAUAGCACCCCGGACAGAGUAUUGAAGAUUCGAGGUGAACUUCCACCAAAAGAGAAGCCAUCUACUUUCAAAAAAGCCUUUCAAGACUCAUGGCUUCAAGAAGGUAAAUACAAAGACUGGCUGCAGAAAGUAGAAAACAAUUGUUUUUUAGCUUAUUGCAAAUGUUGUGAUGUAAAAAUCCAGGAAGGUACUAGUGAGUUAGAUAAGCACGCAAAUGGUAAAAGACAAACAAAAGGUUGAGACAGUAUCUAAUACAAAGAAAAUUGAGAUGUUUAAUAAACAAGAUUGUAAAAUUAUAAAAGCACAAACAUUUGAAGAGCAAGUUAAAAAUGCAGAGAUUAGAAUGGCUUGUUAUUUUGCUGAACACGUCAGUAUUCAAUCUGUAGAACACUUGACUGAAGUAGUUAAAAAAUGUUUCCCUGAUUCCAAAAUUGCUGAGGCUGUAACAUUAAAGAAAGAAAUGUACUGCUAUAGUUAGCAAUGUUUUGGUGCAAACUGAGACUGAGGAACGUGUAGAAAAAUUGAAAGUUAAUGAAUUUAGAUUAUUCAGGUCAAUUCAUGUUUGCAAAUAUAUCUGAACUGGCUAAAAAGGUUUUCACAUUACCACAUUCAAAUGCAGCAUGUGAAAGAAUUUUUUCCAUGGUAACUGACAUAAAAACCAUAAAAAGAAACCGUAUGACAACCAAAACACUCAAUUCUAGUGUAGUUAUAAGGUCAACUUUGAAAGCAAAGCAAGAGAAAUGUUCUAAUUUUGUAAUUACUAUUAAGCACUUGUAUUUACAUUGUAAAAAUAUGUACAGUAAAAAUGACAGUGAUAAAACUAUUAAAAAUAUUAAUGAUGGUAAUGAUGUUUCUAGUGACGACUCAGACCAUGAGUCAGAAAAUGGAUAAAACUCAGAUUAUAAUAAGGAAAAUUAUGUAAAAGUGUUAUUUGUUCUUUGUUUGCUUUUUUAUCUUAUUUUAUAAACAUAUGUUUACUUUUUAUUUUUUGAUGUACAGUACACUGCAGGGCACAUGCUGUACUUAUUAAUACUUUUUUUAAAAUAGUGAAAUUUGUGUAAAAUACAUUGUUUUCUAUCAUUUCAAUCCUACUUGUGUGUUAAAUAUUUUAUUUACUGUAUAAGUAACAAGU